rnacentral:sRNA from 1 species
GGGCGAGUAGCGGGAGACACGGGCUGUCUCUAGCAGGUGGCCGCAGCCAUGGAGAGGCUCUCUGCCGCCGCUGUCAAGGGCGAGACGGGCCCGGAGCGCCCGAGCCCCUUCAGUCAGUUGGUCUACACCAACAACGACUCUUACGUGAUUCACCAUGGGGAUCUCAGGAAGAUCCACAAAGCUGCCUCCCGGGGCCAAGCCUGGAAGCUGGAGAGGAUGAUGAAGAAGACGACAAUGGACCUGAACAGAAGAGAUGCGAAGAAGAGGACUGCUCUACACUGGGCCUGUGCCAAUGGCCAUGCAGAAGUAGUAACACUUCUGGUAGAUAGAAAGUGCCAGCUUGAUGUCCUUGAUGGCGAAAACAGGACACCUCUGAUGAAGGCUCUGCAAUGCCAGAGGGAGGCUUGUGCAAAUAUUCUCAUAGAUUCUGGUGCUGAUCCAAAUAUUGUAGAUGUGUAUGGCAACACAGCUGUCCAUUAUGCUGUUUAUAGUGAUAAUUUGUCAGUGGUGGCAAAAUUGCUGUCCUGUGGCGCAGACAUCGAAGUGAAGAACAAGGUAGACAUUAACCAAUGUUAUUUUCAAAAUAUUUGAAAUCCAUUUGUUUAACAUUAACAUAUGUAAAUUGUUUUAUAUUUGGAAGCUCAAACAUUCCUAUUUUUCUAUGAAAAUAGUUUGACAAAACUUAAUUGUCUAGGAUUUUGCUAUAAAUAUUAAUAUUUUUACAAGAACUAUUAGUAUGGCUUUUCUGUGCAUUUAUGAUAAAUAUUUGAAUUUGUAAAAGGUAAAACUUUUUCAAAUAUUAUUUCCCACCCAAGUUUUUCUUUUCUUUCCAGUUAGUGUAAAACUACAGGAAAGUAAAAUUUGCCUGCAUAAAUUGAGUCAACAUGUAAAAUUUAGGAGACAUGCAGAAAUCUGGAUUUCCUCUUAAAGGACUGAAUCUGGUGUCUUUUGAGCCCAUAUGACUGUUUGGUAUGCUAUGAAGACAUUCUAGCUUUACAUAAAGCAUACAUUUCCAGUUUGCUACUGUGCCCACCUAGUUACAUCACUUACUCAACUUACCUCUUUUGCCUCUGUAAAUAUUUCAGUUAUCAAUUCCUCUCUCAUAGUAUAUUUUGGUAAAGAUUUCAAGUUAUUGAAGACAGUUUAUAGGUGUUUAUAAUAUAUAGUUUAUAUUUUACAUUAAUUCAUUAAUAAUGGGGUUGUCUUCUAGAAUUUAGAAUAUUUUUUAAAUGAUGAUUUUUUCUUCAUAUAAACCACAAAUAAUCAUCUUCUAUUAGAAGGCCUUUAAGCCUUUUUAGAUUAAUCAUGGUUAUAUUUGAAUAGGUUAUGCAUAUUGCAGAAAAUAUAUAUCUUUCUCCACAGAAUUGUCCCUUAAAAUUCAAGUGAUUUAGUGGCUUCUAUUUUGCUAAUUCAUAUACAUGAGUUAGAACUUUCAUUAAUAAGCCAUUUUAUUCAUACUUCUGAUAUUUUGCCAAAAAAUAGUAUCAGUUACAAUAGAAACCAGAAUAAAAAUGGAUUACUGCAUUUUAAAAAGUAGAUAUGCAUUAGGAUCCUAGGAGUAUCAUUAUAAUUGAGAAUAAACUUUUAUACUGGAUUUCUUUUCUUUUUUCUUUUCUUUUUUUUUUUUUUUUGAGACAGAGCCUCACUCUGUCACCAGGCUGGAGGGCAGUGGCAUGAUCUCGGCUCACUGCAACCUCUGCCUCCCUGGCUCAAGUGAUUCUCCUGCCUCAGCCUCCUGAGUAGCUGGGAUGCAGGCGUGUGCCACCACGCCCAGCUACAUUUUUUGUAUUUUUAGCAGAGAUGAGGUUUCGUCAUGUUGACCAGGGUGGUCUUGAUCUCCUGACCUUGUGAUCUGCCCACCUUGGCCCUCAAAGUGCUGGGAUUACAGGCAUGAACCACCUUCCCUGGCCUUUUAUACUGAAUUUCUAAUAGCUGAGAUAAAAUCCUAUUGUCUGGUAAUAGGAUAAACCCCAUGGACUAUUUAAUAAUAAGCAAUCAAAGUUUAUUUGAAGCCAAUCUCCUUUAAUUUAGAGCCACUUCCUUAGUGACCCAUUUAGAGCAGGAGUGCCUGACAUUGGCAUCUGGAAUCUUGGGAUCAUUGAUAGAAGAGAAUCAAGUGAGUUUGUAUCACCCAGAGGAAACCUCCAUUUUUGCGGGGAAGCUGUCAAAACUGCAUCCCUGAAAUUCUAAUUUGUCAAAUGUUAAUGUUUGCCACAAAAAUAUACUGUCAAAUAAGGAUUAGGUAAAGUUCAAUUCAUUUCUUGAAUAAUGAACAUUUAAUUCACAGUUUUAUAACAUUUCUUGAACAUAGAUAAUGGUGGAAUCUGUUGGGGUACUGUGCUUCUGGUAAGAUAAUUAUUCUUUGGAAUAUAGUUGUAGAAACACUGUUCUAGAGGUAACAAUUUAGAUUACUAAUUUAGUAAAAAACAAAGUAUUUACUACUGUGCCUUAGGGUUUAAGGAUAUAGAGAUAAAAGAUACAGCCCCUGCCCUCAAGAAGCUCUUGGUUUACAUGGGAAACAAUAAAAUCAUUACAAUAUAAUGAUUUUUGGAGAUAACCAGAGUUAAUGUGAUGAUGCAGAGGCUGAAUGUUUACAAGAGAAGGUGCAGUGCAUGGGAAAGCACAGAAAAGUGAGAAAGAAGGGAUUGCUAUUGAUUUACUUUCUAUUGUUUAAGUUCAUAGGAUAUUAUAUAAGGUAUUCAGUUCAGUUGAGAAAUAUGUAAUUUCAUGAAUUAUAAAUUGUUUUUGCUGUUUUACAGGCUGGCCACACACCACUUUUACUGGCCAUAAGGAAAAGAAGUGAGCAAAUUGUGGAAUUUUUACUGACAAAAAAUGCAAAUGCAAAUGCAGUUGAUAAGUUUAAAUGCAUUCAUCAACAACUUUUGGAAUAUAAACAAAAGAUAUCUAAAAAUUCUCAAAAUAGCAAUCCAGAAGGAACAUCUGAAGGAACACGUGAUGAGGCUGCACCCUUGGCGGAAAGAACACCUGACAAGGCUGAAUGCUUGGUGGAAAGAACACCUGGUGAAUAGGAUACAGUGAAUUCCUCUUCAAAGAUUUUAGCCUGUAAACAUCCUUUAAAAUUCAAGAGGGGGAAGAUAAAGUACAAUGAGUUCUGAGUUCCUCAUCAAAGAACAAAUAUGUCAGUAUGUUCAGCUUGUCUGUUCUUCGUUCUCCGUUUUAAAGUUUAACUUCCUCGUUCUUUAUGCCUCUUUGCCCCUAGUUUCAUUAAACAACCCCCUUCUAGCCUCUAACA